rnacentral:lncRNA from 1 species
GUUCUGAGUGGAGCACAGAGUGACGUCUCUCUGGAGGCUCGUCAUCUACUCUGCAUUUUCAGUGCACUCAUUCAUUUUUUAACACCCACUUUUUCCUUUCAGGGUCAGCCUACCCAAGUAAGGACUGGGUGGAAGGAAGAGAAGCAUCCCAGACAGCUUGUGCCGCCGGUCAUGGUGUGACUCAGGAUGCUGCAAUGGUGGGCAAGCAUGAGCAGCAGGUGAUGUUGUGAGGAAGAAGUCCAGGAACUGCUUGAAUAUUUAGUGAGGCAUCACAGUCAGCCUGCACGUCACAGCAGACAGCUUUGUGCGUCACUGGGCAGGUGGACUCCUAUCUUUCUUUUCUUCUUUUACUUCUCUUUACACUGUAGCGUAGCGUACGGAAUCUGAACAGUUUACUUGUCGAGUGUGCUGGUGUGUUUAAUUUGACUGACAUACUCCUCAUCAUCAUCUUCCUCAAAUAUAACAGUAUAAUACAUUCAUCAUCACAGUACUGUGAUAAAUGCAGUAUAAUUUGCAGUUAACACAAAUUAUUUUGAUUAUACCAUGGAUCACUAUGAUAUUUUAUAAAAUGAAUUAUAUGUAAUUAUAUUACAUUGUUAUUGGAGCUGGUGUUUUAGUAAAGUUUGUACUGAAGGUAUUGUUGAUGACUGCGGCCCAGUUUCUCAGUCGUGUUAAGUGCAUACAGGUUGUGUUGGUCCAUGACAUUAACAUUUGUUCAAUCCAACAGACAACUUUGAUAUAGACAUGCUAAAAUUAAACAUAAGCUUCUCAAAGAGGCUUGGAUUGAACUGGACGGUAACUGUUUGCAUCUUAAAUUUGUGGGAACUGCAUUAACUGAGGUAUUGAUUAUAU